GCUUGGUAACCAUUAGAGGUGGGGUUGUGUUUCGGCCACAAUAGGGAGUUUUGGCUCACCAGGUG
rnacentral:tRNA from 1 species